AGCGAACGCUGGCGGCAGGCUUAACACAUGCAAGUCGAGCGGGCAUCCUUGUGGUGUCAGCGGCAGACGGGUGAGCAACGCGUGGGAACGUGCCCUUCGGUUCGGAAUAACUCAGGGAAACUUGAGCUAAUACCGGAUACGUGCGAGAGCAGAAAGGUUUAUCUGCCGAAGGAUCGGCCCGCGUCUGAUUAGCUAGUUGGUGAGGUUACGGCUCACCAAGGCGACGAUCAGUAGCUGGUCUGAGAGGAUGAUCAGCCACACUGGGACUGAGACACGGCCCAGACUCCUACGGGAGGCAGCAGUGGGGAAUAUUGGACAAUGGGGGCAACCCUGAUCCAGCCAUGCCGCGUGAGUGAUGACGGCCUUAGGGUUGUAAAGCUCUUUUCUCCGGGACGAUAAUGACGGUACCGGAGGAAUAAGCCCCGGCUAACUUCGUG
rnacentral:rRNA from 1 species